rnacentral:misc_RNA from 1 species
UCAAACUUGGUCAUUUAGAGGAAGUAAAAGUCGUAACAAGGUUUCCGUAGGUGAACCUGCGGAAGGAUCAUUACAGAGUUGCGAAACUCCCACACCCUCGCGAACGUACCCGUCCCGUUGCUUCGGCGGGCCGCCCCGCGGUCGUCCGCGGGCGCCCGCCGGAGGCCCUAAACCCCGUGUCCUGUGGUGGCCUCUCUGAGUUAACUAUCGAAAUCAGUCAAAACUUUCAACAACGGAUCUCUUGGUUCUGGCAUCGAUGAAGAACGCAGC